rnacentral:rRNA from 1 species
CAGGGAAUCUUGCACAAUGGGCGAAAGCCUGAUGCAGCGACGCCGCGUGGGGGAUGAAGGCCUUAGGGUCGUAAACCCCUUUCAGCAGGGACGAAAAUGACGGUACCUGCAGAAGAAGCCCCGGCCAACUACGUGCCAGCAGCCGCGGUAAGACGUAGGGGGCGAGCGUUGUCCGGAUUUAUUGGGCGUAAAGAGCUCGUAGGCGGUUGCGUAAGUCGGAUGUGAAAACUCAGGGCUCAACCCUGAGACGCCAUCCGAUACUGCGCUGACUUGAAUCCAGUAGGGGAGUGUGGAAUUCCUGGUGUAGCGGUGAAAUGCGCAGAUAUCAGGAGGAACACCCAUGGCGAAGGCAGCACUCUGGGCUGGUAUUGACGCUGAGGAGCGAAAGCAUGGUAGCGAACAGGAUUAGAUACCCCAGUAGUCCCUGAG